rnacentral:misc_RNA from 1 species
UACAUAAAUUCAUUAGAUUUAACAAUAAAAAUACAGAACAAGAAGCAUAUAAAUUGAAAAUACCAAACUAAAAAUCUCAAAUAUAAGCGAAAAACAUGAUAAAACAACAGACUGCUAACUACCCACUUGUAACUGGUGCCUGUAAAGAAGGAGCAGAAGGCAAAUCAGCCUCAGUAGUAGAACCACCAUCACCAUUGGGGUCAUCAGAGGAAACAAGAGUCCAAUCAGGAGGAAGAGGAGGGAGAGGAGGAUAAACAGUGGGUUUGCGCCUUAUAUCCCAUGGCUGACUCUUUCUUGGCCUUGUCUUCAUGUGAUGAGCUGUUGCCUUCUUCUGCGGCCUUGAAGAGCACUCUAUGAGCAACCCACCGCCGCCAUAACCACAGCCAAUUCGGGGCGGCUGAAUCUGAGAAUUGGGAGGCUUAAGC